rnacentral:rRNA from 1 species
GGAAAGCUGGUGGGUGUGUGAGUGGGGAAAACGGAGGGUGCAAGGUGUAAUGGGAAUGACGGGUCGGAAGGCGGUGGUAGGUGGUUGGGUAAGUUGGUGUGGAAUGCCCCGUGUGCAACCUGGUAACGGCAUCGAAAACUGGCGAGCUAGAGUAGGGCAGAGGGUGGUGGAAUUGCCUGGGUGGCGGGGAAAGGCGUAGAUAUAGGAAGGAACACCAGUGGCGAAGGCGACCACCUGGGCUCAUACUGACACUGAGGUGCGAAAGCGUGGGGAGCAAACAGGAUUAGAUCCCGUGUAGUC